GAGGGUAUAGCUCAGUGGUAGAGUGCGUGAUUAGCAUGCACAAGGUCCUGGGUUCAAUCCCCAGUACCUCCC
rfam:Camelus ferus unplaced genomic scaffold scaffold668, whole genome shotgun sequence.